GAUCAUGGCCAGGACGAACGCUGGCGGCGUGCCUAACACAUGCAAGUCGAACGGAGUCGGCCCCGCAAGGGACUGACUUAGUGGCGAACGGGUGAGUAACGCGUGAGCAACCUGCCUUUCAGUGGGGGACAACAGUUGGAAACGACUGCUAAUACCGCAUAAAGCAUUUUGACCGCAUGAUCGAGAUGCCAAAGAUUUAUUGCUGAAAGAUGGGCUCGCGUCUGAUUAGAUAGUUGG
rnacentral:rRNA from 1 species